CUAGAGCCUGUGUUAACCUUCCAACACAUGAGCUCUUAUCCCAUCAUGAGGUUAGACGUGCAAAAUCCCCUUGUAUUUAUAGACACAGAGUUAAAUAGCGCUUCAGACAUACCUGGAAACAGGGAACCCAAGUGUCUGGAAUUUGUGUGAGCACAACCAGGCAAUGCAGGAUGAACUGAACUAAGUGGAAGUAAAGUUCUGGAGAAAAAUACAACAAGAAUAGAGAUGCGGAGAAAUUUCUGGCAAAGCUCGCAUCCCACCUGAUGAUGACAACCCAUCUAAAGGCUGUGCUUCAGAUGCCCUUUGGGAGAUAGCUAAUGCCUUUUUGAGCAUCCAGCACCAGCUGCCCUCCAGGAGAUUCUGGUGCAUGCCUGAAUUUGAGAAUGACAUACAAGGCCCUGGAUACUUAAAGUGUGGAAAACAGACCAGGAGCAUCAUGUUGGAGCUUGUUUCCAAGUUAAGUUUCAGGCCACACCCAC
ensembl:lncRNA